rfam:Picea glauca, whole genome shotgun sequence.
GGAGAGAUGGUCAAGUGGUUGAUGGCUCUGGUUUUGAAAACCGAUAUAGUUAAAAAAAUAUCGAGGGUUCGAAUCCCUCUCUCUCCU